GAUGAACGCUGGCGGCGUGCCUAAUACAUGCAAGUCGAGCGAACAGACGAGGAGCUUGCUCCUCUGACGUUAGCGGCGGACGGGUGAGUAACACGUGGAUAACCUACCUAUAAGACUGGGAUAACUUCGGGAAACCGGAGCUAAUACCGGAUAAUAUAUUGAACCGCAUGGCUCAAUAGUGAAAGACGGUUUUGCUGUCACUUAUAGAUGGAUCCGCGCCGCAUUAGCUAGUAGGUAAGGUAACGGCUUACCAAGGCGACGAUGCGUAGCCGACCUGAGAGGGUGAUCGGCCACACUGGAACUGAGACACGGUCCAGACUCCUACGGGAGGCAGCAGUAGGGAAUCUUCCGCAAUGGGCGAAAGCCUGACGGAGCAACGCCGCGUGAGUGAUGAAGGUCUUCGGAUCGUAAAACUCUGUUAUUAGGGAAGAACAAAUGUGUAAGUAACUAUGCACGUCUUGACGGUACCUAAUCAGAAAGCCACGGCUAACUACGUG
rnacentral:rRNA from 1 species